AUCAUGUCAGCAAUGAUGCGAGGACGCUGGAGUAGGAGGAUCACAUGAGCCCAGGAAUUCUCAGCCUUUGUAGAAGAUCAUAUUCAUCUGUACCAAGUUAGGUCUUGAGCAGAUCUCUGCAGGGCCUCAAUGCCACCCACGAGGAGACCUUGUCAAAGGCUGAGAGAUAAGCUGGCAAUUCCAUCAUCCAGUUGCCCUGCUCACAGAGGAUGCAGCCCUCCCCUCAUCCUCUCCUCAGCACCACUGUCCUAGAGGCUGACUGCUGAGGGUGGGGACAAAGUUCUAGAAGACAGAAGUCCAGAUAGCGUACGGCAGACUCUGAGAACCCAUUUGCCCACCUUGACUGCAUUUCAUUAGUUGACUGAACUACUGACAACGAAGAUUAAAAUCACCCCCAAGGAACUACUUCUAAACAGCCUGGCUGCAUCACAACAUCCCUCUGCAAGCAAGUGCUAUUUGACUGUGUGCAAACGCACAAACACAGCACACAGACACACCCAUCUGCCAUGUAUCCAAUAGUAAAGAGGAGGUGUGUGGGGUAGAGAGCCUGCAUCAAGAGGGAAG